rnacentral:rRNA from 1 species
GAUGAACGCUGGCGGCGUGCCUAAUACAUGCAAGUCGAGCGAAUGGAUUAAGAGCUUGCUCUUAUGAAGUUAGCGGCGGACGGGUGAGUAACACGUGGGUAACCUGCCCAUAAGACUGGGAUAACUCCGGGAAACCGGGGCUAAUACCGGAUAACAUUUUGAACCGCAUGGUUCGAAAUUGAAAGGCGGCUUCGGCUGUCACUUAUGGAUGGACCCGCGUCGCAUUAGCUAGUUGGUGAGGUAACGGCUCACCAAGGCAACGAUGCGUAGCCGACCUGAGAGGGGGAUCGGCCAGACGGGGACUGAGACACGGCCCCGACUCCUACGGGAGGCAGCAGUAGGGAAUCUUCCGCAAUGGACGAAAGUCUGACGGAGCAACGCCGCGUGAGUGAUGAAGGCUUUCGGGUCGUAAAACUCUGUUGUUAGGGAAGAACAAGUGCUAGUUGAAUAAGCUGACACCUUGACGGUACCUAACCAGAAAGCCACGGCCAACUACGUGCCAGCCGCCGCGGUAA